GAUGAACGCUGGCGGCGUGCCUAAUACAUGCAAGUCGAGCGAACAGACGAGGAGCUUGCUCCUCUGACGUUAGCGGCGGACGGGUGAGUAACACGUGGAUAACCUACCUAUAAGACUGGGAUAACUUCGGGAAACCGGAGCUAAUACCGGAUAAUAUAUUGAACCGCAUGGUUCAAUAGUGAAAGACGGUUUUGCUGUCACUUAUAGAUUGAUCCGCGCCGCAUUAGCUAGUUGGUAAGGUAACGGCUUACCAAGGCGACGAUGCGUAGCCGACCUGAGAGGGUGAUCGGCCACACUGGAAGUGAGACACGGUCCAGACUCCUACGGGAGGCAGCAGUAGGGAAUCUUCCGCAAUGGGCGAAAGCCUGACGGAGCAACGCCGCGUGAGUGAUGAAGGUCUUCGGAUCGUAAAACUCUGUUAUUAGGGAAGAACAAAUGUGUAAGUAACUAUGCACGUCUUGACGGUACCUAAUCAGAAAGCCACGGCUAACUACGUG
rnacentral:rRNA from 1 species